rnacentral:rRNA from 1 species
GAUCUGGGCUUUUCUGGACCUGCUUACACUUGGACCAACAUGAGAUUUUCUUCUAGUCCUAUUUUUGAACGUCUCGGUCUCUGUCUCGCUAAUGCUGAAUGGUGCGCUUUGUUCCCCACAACAAAUGUUUUCAACAUGCCCAUUAUUCAUAGUUUUAGCGAUCAUGCACCUAUCUUACUUUCAACUGAGUCUAAGUUUAAAAGGCCCUGGCUCACCUUCAAAUUUGAAAAUUGGUGGCUUUUUGUGGGAGAUUAUCAAUCUGUUGCAAAGAAUGAUUGGGCUUCUACUACCACAAAACCUUUCCAUGUACGCACUAACCAUCUUGCACGUACUCUCAAACUGUGGUGCAAAAAGAAAAUGCCACUUCAGCAGCAACUUCAUCAGUUGCAGAAUCAAAUUAAUAAUAUUCAGAUGCAGCCUCUAGAUCAACAUGACUAUACUCUUGAAGCGAACCUGGUAGCCCAAUAUGAAGGAAGCAUGACAAAGUUAAACGAAUUCUAUAAGCAAAGAGCCAAAAAGCAUUCGGUCACACAAGGUGACAGGAACACAACUUUUUUCCAUCAGGCAGUCAACAAGAGGAGAAGAAAUAGGAUUGUUUCCAUUAUGGAUAGUCAAGGGAGAGAUCUUUUUGGCCCUCAAGAUAUAGCCAAUGAAUUUAUCACUUACUUCCAUAAUAUCUUUCAAUCUAGUUGCCCGAGGGCCGGUCCUGAGAUUUUGGGGGCCCGGGGCGAAACUAAAUUCCGGGGCCCCUAUUAUAAACAACAUAAAAUAUAA